GAUGAACGCUAGCGGCAGGCUUAAUACAUGCAAGUCGAGGGACAGCACAGGUAGCAAUACUGGGUGGUAACCGGCAAACGGGUGCGGAACACGUACACAACCCUCCUUUAAGUGGGGGACAGCCCAGAGAAAUUUUGAUUAAUACCACGUAAUAUAGAUGAAUGGCAUCAUUUGAUUAUUAUAGCUACGGCGCUUAAGUGUGGGUGUGCGGCAGAUUAGUUAGGUGGUGGGGUAACGGCCAACCAAGUCUCGUAUCAUUAGCUGAUGUGAGGGCAUGAUACGCCACACGGGAACUAAGACACGGGCCCGAAUCCUACGGGAGGCAGCAGUAAGGAAUAUUGGUCAAUGGACGCAAGUCUGAACCAGCCAUGCCGCGUGAAGGAUUAAGGUCCACUGGAUUGUAAACUUCUUUUAUUUGGGACGAAAAAGGGCCUUUCUAGGUCAACUGACGGUACCAGAUGAAUAAGCACCGGCUAACUCCGUGCCAGCAGCCGCAGUAAAAC
rnacentral:rRNA from 1 species